GAUAGAGCAAGAGCUUUCCUUGAACCUGGCAUGUUUUAGGGUUUUGGAUGGAGCCCAGAGACCUUCAAGCCUCAGCUGUUGCUUUGUUUCCCAACAAGGUCACCUGGGAAGGGAGAGUUCUGCAAUUCUCAGAAGACUGUCCUGGCCUGAGACCACAGACAUGAGCCAGAAGAACCUUCUGGAGGUUUCUUUUAGCCUUUCCAGAUACCCACUGAAUUCCUGGGGCUCAGUUUUGGUUGGCAAUACUUUAAGCAUUUGGAAGAUCUGGUUCCCAUCAUCAAGAACUUAAUGUGGGGUGUUUUUCCACAGUCAAGUAUGUUAAGUGCUGCAGGAACCAUGGUGCUGUCCUUUCCUCUGCUGUCCUGGGCUCUGCUGUUUAGGGCCUAGACAGGGUGCAGGAUACUCCUGGGUGCACUACACUAGGCUGGGUGGAGUAUACACACAGUGUGCAUGCCUUUAAUCCCAGAACUCAGGAGGCAGAUGCAAGCAGACAUCUGUGAGUCUGAGGCCAGCCAAGGCUCCAUAAUUUUUCAAAUGAAAAAUAUUUGCAUGCUAUAGCCUGGACAGAUCUUCCAAAUCCUGGUCACAAUGACCUCCUUGAUUACAUGUCACCUUGAUUACAUGUUGCCCAUGAGAAUUCAGCUUCCCUAGAAUGCCAGACCAGGCCUUCAGGUCAGCCCCUCCUUUGCUUUGUAUGGUUGGCUGAGAUUUCUGUAAAACUCCUGGAGGAGUUGGCUCCCAACGUUAUGCAGUUUUAGGUAGCAUUUCUCCCGUGGUUACACAGCUACAUCUCAAAGGAAUAAAUUGGUAUAAGAGGAAAAGGCUAAAUGCCAUUGUUCUAAAGAAAAGUAUGGUCCUUUUUUUUUAGGAAGAGGGGGUUAACAUUUGGAUACAAAUGGUCAGGUGACUUGUCCUUGCUGAAAUUGUAAUUUGUUUGUCACACACAUCCCAUUCACUUUACUAUCUGCCAUAGAUGCUGAAAUCUGCACUGUAUUAUUUAUAUGAGUUUAAAUUUGAUUUUUAUAUGUGUUUGAAUAUAGUUCAGUUGUGGCC
rnacentral:lncRNA from 1 species